CUACGGAGGGGGCUAGCGUUGUUCGGAAUUACUGGGCGUAAAGCGCGUGUAGGCGGAUCGUUAAGUCAGGGGUGAAAGCCCGGGUCUCAACCCCGGAACUGCCCUUGAUACUGGCGAUCUAGAGUCCGGAAGAGGUGGGCGGAAUUCCCGGUGUAGAGGUGAAAUUCGUAGAUAUCGGGAGGAACGCCAGUGGCGAAGGCGGCUCACUGGUCCGGUACUGACGCUGAGACGCGAAAGCGUGGGGAGCAAACAGGAUUAGAAACCCCUGUAGUCC
rnacentral:rRNA from 1 species